AGGUGUAAAAUAGAAUCUAAAAGGGCUACAUUUGGGAAUUACAUCAAGUCAUCUGGGAACAAUUAAAAGCAGGUAGGAUAUGGCAAGGCAGGAAGAAGCCAUGUCUCAGUAAAACAAUGGGAAGUGAGAUGGAAGACUGUUGCAUGAGAGGCCGACUCUGGCAGGGGUGGAGAAAGCCCCGAUACUGGCCCUCUAUUUGGGUGGGCAUCUAUUUUCUUAUUUUCAGUGCCCAUAGGGGUCUUUUGCCUUACUCCUCUUCCAUCAGCCUCCCAUACACGCAACUCAACUGGCCAUUGGACCCUGCUAUGGGCAGCAUCUGAGACCACUGAGAUCAUUUCCUUUCCUGAGAUCUACCCACUUUAUUUGCAUCUCUUUCCUCUGCCUUAUGGUGACUCUACUCUCAGGACACCAGAUCUGCCUAAAAAAGACAAAAGGGGAAAAAUCCAACUAGCCAACAACCCAUAGGGGUGACUGCAGCUAAGCGACUAGUUUAUCUGAUUUGCUUGAUGCUCAACUGUGGAUGCCAAAGUCAUUUAACUGCAGUUCAAAAGGGGUUGUGCUGUGUGGCCUCUCCAUGGCCACUCAUGAGCCAGGUGUUUGCCUCCACUAUCAGCUGUUGCCCCAAUCUAGAUGUGCUGGCUUCCUGGGGCUCCAGCCCCUGUGUGUGGGCAUGAGGUUCACAUCGCUUCAUUUACACACCCACUUAGCAAAUAUUUACCCCAUGCCUGCUCUGUGCUUGGCCACCCUCUAGGCACUGGAGGUCACAGUUGUAGAUGUGACAAGGAGGUCUUUGCUCUCAUGGAGUUGAUGUUCUAGUGAAGACAGACAAGUGGUAAACAAAUAAACAAACAAAUCAGAUGGUGAUGAAAGUUGGGGUGGAAAUAAAGAAAUGCAAAGUGACCCAGUGUGUCCAGGGGCUUAGUUUAGAGUGGGAGAGGUCUUCAAGAACCAUGCAAAUCUUCCCUAAUUGCAUCCUUUUCCACAUCAACCACGUGGGUUCCUACAGGAGAAGACCAAGAGACAGAGACAAGGACCAGGGAAAAUGACCGAUACCAUUCCUUCUCAGGGAUGCUACACAUCCAUGGGGCAGAGGAUAAGAGGUUCCUGAAGGCAUCACCCCUCUGGCCGUGACUGGUGUGCAGAGGAAACUGGAGAUUUGGAGUAGCCUGUUGUCCUACUGACUCUUAGACUGUCCCAGCUAAGAAGAACCAACUCCUCCUAUUACAGAUAAAAUAAACAAAGCUGCUCAGGCUCUCUAGUGUCGCCCUGACA
rnacentral:lncRNA from 1 species